rnacentral:lncRNA from 1 species
AUGAAGGUGUCGCUGUGGGAGAGCUUCAGCCGGCUGCUCCAGCUCGGCCCCUCCUCCCCCACGGGCUCGGGCGGGAGGCUGUCCAGGUCACUGCGGGAGCACCCCACCUUGCCCUCGCCCCCGCUGCUCGAGGGUCUCGGGGUGGCUCUGCUCCAUGGUGUAGCCCAGCGCCGAGAAGACGAAGAUGCCCACCGCCAGGUACAUGAGCAGCAGCCCCAGCUCUUUGAAGCUGCGCUUGAGGGCGUAGGUGAGGGUCUGCAGGCCCGAGGAGUGGCGCGCCAGCUUGAAGAUGCGGGCGAUGCGCAUGAUGCGCAGGGCUUGCACCGCCUGCUGCACGUUGGUCAGCUCCAUCAUGCGCGCGCCCAGGUGCGUGAGCGUGAGGCUCACGUAGAAGGGGAGGAUGGCCAGCACGUCCACGAUGUUCAUGAAGGACAGCGCGAAGUGCAGCUUGUUGGGCGAGGAGAAGAGGCGCAGCAGGUACUCCAGCGUGAACCAGCCGAUGCACGCCGUCUCCACGUUCUCCAGCGUCGGGUGCUCCACGCGGUUGCCGUCGGCGUCCAGGACCUGCAGCUCCGGGAUGGUGCCCAUGCACAUGACCACCGACGAGAUGAGGAUGAGCAGGAAGGACAGCACGGCCACCACCCGCGCCGGGCACGACGACUCGGGCUUCUCCAGGAACUUCCAGACGCACUUCUGGCAGCGGCGCCAGCGGCCCUCGGCCGAGUCCACGCCCAGGUCGUCGAGGAUGAGCUGCACGCGGCGCGCGAUCUCCUCCAGCUCCUCGCGCUUCUCGCUCAGGUGGCUCUUGCAGCAGUCGUCCAGGAACUUGAGGUCCACCUUCCAGAAGUCCAUCUCGUUCUUGAAGCAGAUGGGACAGAUGCCCUUCUUCAUGUGGACCUCCCCGAAGUAGUACACCUCGAUGACACACUUGAAGGCGUCCGGGUCCCUGUCGAAGUAGAAUUCGCGCUUCCCGGGGUCGUAGUCGUCGCACAGGGAGAAGAUGGUGUCGUAGCCCCCCGCCAGGCAGCCCAUGAGCUCGGCCAGCCGGGUCUCGGGGUACUGGCUGAGCAGGUCCCCGUACAGCACCUGCCGCACGCCCCCCACGUUGACCACGAUCUCGAUGUCGUCGCCGGCCCGGGAGCCCCGGCUGCCCCGGCUGCCCCGGCUGCCCGGCUCCGGGAGGCUGCGCUCCCCCGCCGCGUCCAUGCUCCCGGCGAGCGCCCGCUCAGCCUCGGCUCCGCGCCCCGCCGCCGCCGCCGCCGCCGCCGCCGCCGCCGCGGGUCCGGAGGGUCCGGGGGGCCCGGGGGGCCCGGGGGGUCCCGGGGGGCCCGGCCGCGCGCCGCCCUCGGGGGAGCCGGCCCCGCGCCCGCCUGCCUGGAGGGGUCACAGCGGGCGGCAGGCGGCUGGGGCGCGCCGCGGGGGGGGCAUGCACCCGGCGCCGGGGCUCCUGCGGCCGGGCAUGCGGGCGCCUCCGGGGCGCGCCGGCGGGGGGCUCUCGCGGCCGCCGGCCUCGCCCUGGGCGCUCACCCCGCUCCCGGCCGGCGCCGCCCGCCGCGUGGGCUCGGCCUCCGGCACGCCCGGGGCGGCGGGGCGCGGGGGGGGGGGGGGCCGGGGGGCGGCGGUCCUCCGCCCCGGGGCGCGCGGGCAGCGGCUGGCAGGUCCCCGGGGCGCGCGGGACGAGCCCCGGAGCUGCCGGACCCACGCCGCCCGCCGAGGCGCGCGGAGAGCGAACUUGGGCUGCCUGCGCCCGAGCCGUUUCCAAACACAAUAGGAAUUCCAGCCUGA